rnacentral:rRNA from 1 species
AUGCAGUGCGUGGCCGUGUCGUACAACGUCGCGUUCAAGGACGCCGGGCACCGGCUCCUGCGCGACCACGGCAUGGACUUCCACCCCGCCGACGCGUGCAUGUCCAAGGAGUUUAUGGAGUACAUCGCGAGGACGUGGCAUGACGGGCAGGGAGCGGCGGUUGGGGGCAUGGUCAUCAACACGUGUCGUGCGCUGGAGGGCGAGUUCAUCGACGUGGAAGCCCAGAGUCCGGAGUACAGCGGCCAGAAGAUCUUCGCCAUCGGGCCACUCAACCCACUCCUCGACGCGAGCGCGAGGGUGCCGGGGGAGGCGCGGCACGGGUGCCUUGACUGGCUCGAUAGACAACCGCCGGCGUCGGUGUUGUACGUAUCGUUCGGCACCACGUCCUCGCUGCUCACCGCGCAAGUCGCGGAAAUCGCCGCGGCGCUGCGUGACGGCAAGCAGCGGUUCAUCUGGGUGCUGCGUGACGCCGACCGCGGCGUCAACGACGUACACGAGGAAGGCACUGACGGCCAGCACGCCAAGUUGCUGUCGGAAUUUACCAGGCAAACCGAGGGGACGGGGCUCGUGAUCACCGGGUGGGCACCGCAGCUGGAGAUCCUGGCGCACGGCGCCACGGUGGCGUUCAUGAGCCACUGCGGCUGGAACUCGGCCAUGGAGAGCUUGAGCCAUGGUAAGCCGAUUCUGGCCUGGCCCAUGCACUCGGACCAGCCGUGGGAGGCGGAGUUUAUCUGCAAGUACCUCAAGGCUGGUCUCCUCGUGCGGCCCUUGGAGCAGCGCAGCUCGGUGGUGCCGUCGGAGGUCAUCAGAGAGGUCAUCGAGAAGGCGAUGGUAUCCGAGGAAGGAUUGCAAGCGAGGGAGCGGGCAAAUGCGCUGGGCGUGUCCAUCCGCGCCUCGGUGGCCGAGGACGGGUCGUCGCAUUUAGACCUCCAGAAAUUCAUUGCUCAUAUUGCAAGAUGA